rnacentral:rRNA from 1 species
GACGAACGCUGGCGGCGUGCUUAACACAUGCAAGUCGAACGGAAAGGCCCUGCUUUUGUGGGGUGCUCGAGUGGCGAACGGGUGAGUAACACGUGAGUAACCUGCCCUUGACUUUGGGAUAACUUCAGGAAACUGGGGCUAAUACCGGAUAGGAGCUCCUGCUGCAUGGUGGGGGUUGGAAAGUUUCGGCGGUUGGGGAUGGACUCGCGGCUUAUCCGCUUGUUGGUGGGGUAGUGGCUUACCAAGGCUUUGACGGGUAGCCGGCCUGAGAGGGUGACCGGCCCCAUUGGGACUGAGAUACGGCCCAGACUCCUACGGGAGGCAGCAGUGGGGAAUAUUGCACAAUGGGCUGAAGCCUGAUGCAGCAACGCCGCGUGCGGGAUGACGGCCUUCGGGUUGUAAACCGCUUUCGCCUGUGACGAAGCGUGAGUGACGGUAAUGGGUAAAGAAGCACCGGCUAACUACGUG